GGGGAAAUAAGGGAAUGGCAGAUAGGUGGGGAAGAAGAGGAAAAAGGCAAGUAACUAAAACUAUGGACAAACUAUCUACGGACAUGUAAAAACUACAGAAACAACAGGAUUGACAUAUACAACAAAUACAUUGAUGCAGACAAGGAGGACAAACAACAACGGAGCACCGGCGGGCAUAUCAAAUGCAAUGCGAACAUUACGCUGUAUACCGGCCGACUCUGUUGUCCCCCUGUGUGUUUUUUAUUGGCUGGGUGUACUUGUCGGCGUUGGGAUGUUGUUGCUGGCGACCUUUGUCUGGUUGGUGUUGGCGUGAGAGACUUUUGCAGGCGAGUAUUUGUGUUUUUAUUGGCAGCCUUUUUUUCUGAUUCUCCUUCUUCUUUUGCAGGAUUUGCUGACGUCCGGCGGUUCAACACCGGGCCAUCCCGCCCUCACAUAAUUGGCAUGAGAGACGGGUGCGACCCAGUGGAGCGGCAACAGGCGCCAGCAUCUGCGUCGUCGUUUGGAAUGGCAGCUGUGAGCAGGAAAUUGUCAAUGAUGGUGGCGAGGCAGCUUCUUGAUUGGCAGUGGCUGGCCUCUGGACUUCUGUUGGAAUUGACAGUUGUAUUGGCUGGUGUCGCUGUUGGAUUGGCUGUGGCUGCUGAUUGCGACGCUCCUCCUCCCUGUCGACCCUGUGGGCCACGAGCCUCUGCCUG
rnacentral:sRNA from 15 species